CCGAGCUGCAGCCGUCUCCCUCGGGCUGCUGCCGGUGCUGCGGGCGGAGGCGGCUCCGCCGCGUGUUGGGCGCUGCGAGCAGGGAGCGCUGCGGUAUCGCCGGCAUGGCGGGGCUGCUGCCUGCGUUAGUGCCCGUGGCUCUUUGUGCCGUGACAGCGGAUGGAGCGGCGCUGGGCGGUAAAGCCAGAGAUGGCCGGGAGAAUGCCCAGCGCAGGGAGCGGGCGGGCUGUGUGCUUCGGAUGGCACAGGAUACUCAGAAAAUAUGUCUCCCUUAGAGUCCCACAGAAACGUUCUCAGUGCGAUCUCUAUCAAGUGCUAUGAGUCUUGAUCAAUUGGAGAAGAGCCCAAGAGAAAUUUUUCAUCCCUUGAUAUAAAAGGGAUCGGUGAAUUUUAACUUUGGAGUCCCCUAUGCUAAGGAUGCUCAGCUUACAGGUGAUGAAAUGUUCAGUAAUGUAUUUGCUGCAGCUCUGCUCACCCAAGCUUUGGGUUCCUUCUGUCCCACUGGGAGUUGCCCAAUUUCGUUGCAUCUGGUGAAAUUCACCCUGAGACCUUACAGAAGCAGCUCCAACUACGUGAGAGCCAUUUGCAGUUCUCUCCAGACGCCUGGAGAAUGGGCGACGUUUCUGAGGAUCCGGCGAGCGUGCUUCUGUCAAAACUCAGUCUGUGAAAUUCCUGGGGAAAACCCUUCUGUGUCCUGAAGGGUUCAAACUCUGGUGAGGAUCCAGUUAUCAGGUGCUCACCUGGAUGGUUCCAGCUCCCAAAGGGAAAGACUCUCGUGUCCUUGUCGUCGGGCUCGGUGCUGUCCAAGAAGAUACGGGGACUAAAAAAAUCAUAAGAAGCAAAAUAGGACUGCAGGGAAAAGAAGCUGGAGAGAACAGAAGACUCAUCACGGCGGGACAGCGUGAAGACUGAAAGUGUAAGAAGAUGUGGAGGGAAAGAGAGAAUCUGACAGGAGCAUCGGACGCACGAGUGCACGAAUUUUGCUUUUUUGCUUGGAUGUAAACUCAGGCGUUGAAAGGAAUUUGGGAGUGAGAAGGGACAUUUCAGAAGGAGAAGAAGCAAAAGAAGUUGUUGUUGUUGUUACAGUCCUGGCAAAAUCUUUUGUUCUAGCUAAUAAAAGAAGUUAGUUUAAAAAACAAAAAGGAAAAAA